AUGCUUACUUUAUAGCAUAUAUACUAAAAUUGUAAUAUAUGGAGAAGAUUAGCAUGAACUGAUCUCUGCACAAGGAUAACAUGCAAAUUUGUGAAGCAUUUCAUAUUUUA
ensembl:snRNA U6 U6 spliceosomal RNA